GAGAUGGCAGUUGCCGGAGUUGGAGGCCGGGCGGCGACGAAAUUCCAUGGAAUUAUAGUUGGUCUACUCUGCAAUGUCUCUAUUUAAAAGCCCAAGUGAGGACAGACAAGAUGAACGUAGAACAUGAGAGAUAUCUGCAAGCCAACAACAAAGAAUUCAACAGUAUUUUUGGAUAUCCGAACAAUGCCAUCAAGACCUCAAAAUAUAGUGUCUUUAAUUUCCUGCCCCUGAACCUAUUUGAACAGUUCCAGAGACUUGCAAAUGCAUAUUUCCUCAUUUUGCUAUUUUUACAGUUGAUUCCCCAGAUCUCCUCCUUGACAUGGUAUACAACUAUAACACCCCUGAUGGUGGUGCUGUCCAUUAACAGCUGUGAAAGAUGCCAUCGAUGACCUGAAAAGGCAUCAAAGUGACGAUCGAGUCAACAACCAGCCUGUUCUGCUACUGGUGAAUGGCAAGAUAAAGGAGGACAAAUGGAUGAAUGUUCAAGUGGGAGAUAUAAUAAAACUAGAAAAUAAUCAGCCUGUCAUGGCAGAUAUACUAUUACUCUCUAGCAGUGAGCCAUAUAGUCUGACAUACAUAGAGACAGCAGACCUGGAUGGUGAAACCAACCUGAAAGUGAAGCAGGCCAUCUCAGUUACCAGUGACAUGGAAGAUCGCCUGGAGCUUCUGUCUACCUUUAAUGGAGAAGUGAGAUGUGAGGCUCCCAAUAACAAAUUGGACAAAUUCUCAGGAAUACUGACCUAUAAGGGGAAAAACUACUUCCUGGACCAUGACAAGCUGCUACUCUGAGGCUGCAACAUCAGGAAUACAGAUUGGUGCUAUGGCUUGGUGAUCUACACUGGGCCAGAUACCAAAUUAAUGCAGAAUAGUGGAAAGUCCACUUUUAAACGAACACAGAUAGACCAUCUCAUGAAUGUCCUUGUACUCUGGGCAUCGUGUGUUUUGUCCUAGCAGUUGGGCAUGGCAUUUGGCAGAACAAGAAAUGCUACCACUUCCAGAUUUUUCUGCCAUGGGUAAAAUAUGUCUCUUCAUCAGCUGUCUCUGCCAUCCUCAUAUUCUGGUCCUACUUCAUUAUUCUCAAUACCAUGGUGCCCAUUUCCCUCUAUGUCAGUGUUGAAAUAAUAAGAUUGGGCAACAGUUUAUAUAUCAACUGGGAUCGGAAGAUGUUUUAUGCACCAAGGAACACACCAGCACAGGUGAUACUUAUGACAAGGAUGGACAGAGGGUGACGGUCUCUGAGACAGUUUAUGAGACCUGGUUUAUCACAUGCUACAGUCUGGUCUACACUUCCCUCCCUGUCCUGUGCAUGAGUCUGUUUGAUCAGUAACCCAUAAGGAAGCUCCUAGGCAGCCUGGCAGCAGACCUGGUGAGGGGAGAAGCCUCUACUCUGAUGGAGAUGGGACCUUCUAUGGAGAGACCCUGAGCCUCCCUCCUUACCCUCGGGUGCUUCCAGGAUGUGAAUGAGACAUGGAGCCUCCAUUUCCCAGAGCUGUAUGAGCCAGGCCAGCACAACCUCUAUUUCAACAAGAAAGAAUUUGUGAAGUGUUUAAUGCAUGGGAUCUACAGUUCCUUCGUGUUGUUCUUUGUCCCCAUGGGGGCUCUUUACAAUGCAGAACGAAAUGAUGGGAAGGACAUCUCCGACUACCAGUCCUUCUCCCUGGUGGUGCAGACCUCCUUGAUCUGGGUGGUCGC
ensembl:lncRNA ATP8B5P ATPase phospholipid transporting 8B5, pseudogene